GCCAGGUGUGGUGGCGCAUGCCUGUAAUCCCAGCUACUUGGGAGGCUGAGGCAGGAGAAUUGCUUGAACCCAGGAGGUGGAGGCUGCAGUGAGCCGAGAUUGUGCCACUGCACUCCAGCCUGGGCGACGGAGUAAGACUCUGUCUCAA
rnacentral:sRNA from 1 species